rnacentral:rRNA from 1 species
AGAGUUUGAUCAUGGCUCAGAUUGAACGCUGGCGGCAGGCCUAACACAUGCAAGUCGAACGGUAACAGGAAGAAGCUUGCUUCUUUGCUGACGAGUGGCGGACGGGUGAGUAAUGUCUGGGAAACUGCCUGAUGGAGGGGGAUAACUACUGGAAACGGUAGCUAAUACCGCAUAACGUCGCAAGACCAAAGAGGGGGACCUUAGGGCCUCUUGCCAUCGGAUGUGCCCAGAUGGGAUUAGCUAGUAGGUGGGGUAAAGGCUCACCUAGGCGACGAUCCCUAGCUGGUCUGAGAGGAUGACCAGCCACACUGGAACUGAGACACGGUCCAGACUCCUACGGGAGGCAGCAGUGGGGAAUAUUGCACAAUGGGCGCAAGCCUGAUGCAGCCAUGCCGCGUGUAUGAAGAAGGCCUUCGGGUUGUAAAGUACUUUCAGCGGGGAGGAAGGGAGUAAAGUUAAUACCUUUGCUCAUUGACGUUACCCGCAGAAGAAGCACCGGCUAACUCCGUGCCAGCAGCCGCGGUAAUACGGAGGGUGCAAGCGUUAAUCGGAAUUACUGGGGCGUAAAGCGCACGCAGGCGGGUUUGUUAAGUCAGAUGUGAAAUCCCCGGGGCUCAACCUGGGGAACUGCAUCUGAUACUGGGCAAAGCUUGAGUCUCGUAGAGGGGGGGUAGAAUUCCAGGUGUAGCGGUGAAAUGCGUAGAGAUCUGGAGGAAUACCGGGUGGCGAAGGCGGCCCCCUGGACGAAGACUGAGGCUCAGGUGCGAAAGCGGGGGGAGCAGAACAGGAUUAGAAUACCC